rnacentral:rRNA from 1 species
UAGCCGCCGCGGUAACACGGAGGGGGCUAGCGUUGUUCGGAAUUACUGGGCGUAAAGCGCACGUAGGCGGCUUGGUAAGUUAGAGGUGAAAGCCCGGAGCUCAACUCCGGAAUUGCCUUUAAGACUGCCGAGCUAGUAGGUGAGAGAGGUAAGUGGAAUUCCGAGUGUAGAGGUGAAAUUCGUAGAUAUUCGGAAGAACACCAGUGGCGAAGGCGGCUCACUGGACUGGUAUUGACGCUGAGGUGCGAAAGCGUGGGGAGCAAACAGGAUUAGAUACCCGCGUAGUCCCUGUCUCUUAUAC